rnacentral:lncRNA from 1 species
UUUCUUGCAUUUCAAGGCAUCAUUUGAAAAUGUUUUCUUCACAACAAUUGUACUUUGCCAUGUCCUCUUUCACAUCCUUUUGGAAUCAUCUCAUUUGGAUUCAUGGUUUGAGAAAUACAUUCACCUAAAGUGGGCACCAUGACUUGAUUUUCUAGGCAGAUUUUAGGCCAAACUGGCCCAACCAUUUUGCAGUUGGUGUGACACGAUUUUGGGACAAUUUUUCACCUUCU